rnacentral:rRNA from 1 species
CAGCUAGUUGGCGGGGUAACGGCCCACCAAGGCUAUGACGGGUAGCUGGUCUGAGAGGACGACCAGUCACACGGGGACUGAGACACGGCCCCGACUCCUACGGGAGGCAGCAGUGGGGAAUUUUCCGCAAUGGGCGAAAGCCUGACGGAGUGACGCCGCGUGUGGGACGAAGGCCUUCGGGUCGUAAACCACUGUCAGUGGGAAAGAAGGGUGUCGGCGCAAAUACCGCCGGCAUUUGACGGUACCUGCAGAGGAAGCCCCGGCCAACUCUGUGCCAGCAGCCGCGGUAAGACAGAGGGGGCAAGCGUUGCUCGGAAUUACUGGGCGUAAAGGGCGCGUAGGCGGGAUGGCAAGUCGGUCGUGAAAUCCUUCGGCUCAACCGAAGAACGUCGAUCGAUACUGC